rnacentral:rRNA from 1 species
UACGGGGGGUGUAAGCGUUGUUCGGAAUUACUGGGCGUAAAGGGCGUGCAGGCGGUCACCGCAAGUUGAAUGUGAAAUCCCCGAGCUUAACUUGGGACGUGCGUUCAAGACUGCGGGACUCGAAUACGGGAGAGGGUCGUGGAAUUCCUGGUGUAGAGGUGAAAUUCGUAGAGAUCAGGAGGAACACUCGUGGCGAAGGCGACGACCUGGACCGAUAUUGACGCUGAGACGCGAAAGCGUGGGUA